rnacentral:lncRNA from 1 species
CACUUGGAUAUUUGGGAAACUAGCGAUGAGAGGGUAGAUUCACCGGAAAACUCUGAAACCAAAGGGACUGGUGUGAAAGAGGCAAGUAAGAAGACCAGAGUUUCCUUUCCACCUCCAGCAAUCUUGGGCCCUCCUCUCCUGUCUCUCAAGCUCAAUAAUCUGCAACUUCAAGUGAACGUCUCCUUGCCACUCACUUCCUACCGAAGGAGAGAUGGCUCGUUCAAGUCAGUUAAGGAUGUGAAAGUGAACGUGGAGUACAAGGUGGUGCUGUGUGAGGUGGACACCUUGAUCUGCACAACCAAGACCUGCAAACACAAUGCGAAAAUCACUUGCUUCCAGUUUAACUUCCUGAGACCAAACUGUCAGUACUGUAUUAGCAGCAGAGUGGAAGGCCACCAAAGCAAAGAGGCUAAACUCUGCAUCAGGACUCAGUUCAAGCCAAUAGGCUUGGAAUGGGUCGUCAUAAUUGUACUGACGGUCCUGGUAGUGCUGGUGCUGUUGGGGUGGAUCGUGUUCUUCUUCCUCAAGCGCUACGUGCAUCCCUGCCAAGCCGAAGCCCAGAUUCCCCGAAUACUGGCAACUUUCAAAGAAGAACUAAACGCGGACCUGCCCUGUGAGGAACCUGAAGUAGAAGCGAAUUCAGUCUUUCUGCUCUCGCCUGUCGAGAUCGUCUCGGCCGGAGAGGGUACCACCAAGCGACCGAGUUCCCCGAGCCAGGAGCUUUCAGGAAUCUACAAGGUCGACGGCGGGGCUGAAGACUAUCAGGAUAACGGGGUGGAUCCAGGCUACUCGGAGGCCUCUUCCAGGAAGACGGAUAGUUCAGAAGCUCUAGAUUUUGAAGCUUCCCCGGAGGCACCGAACUCGGCGAUCGGCGGCCAUCUCAGGCGUCUCCAUUGCUUUCCCCCACACCGGCGUCCGACUACGGAAGCGAGCAGCCUCCACCCGGGGGCCGGACCGCUAGACGCGAUGACCAAAGAGGCCUCCGCUGACGAAAGGGAUCACCGGGCCGAACCGACCUGGCAUAACAUUCCUCUGGCUUCUGUGAAAUUGCAAGGAGGUCAAGAGGCUGGGGACUGCCUUGGGCCUCUGAGAAGACUGUGUGAGACUGAGGCUAACGGGUCAAGCCGGGAAAGCUUAGAAGAUGUGGAAAAUGAUCCUGGCGGGUCCCUACCCGCGGGCCGUGACCAGCCUGGCCUGCCAGAUUUGCCAGGUCCUCGAGAUUAGGAAACCGAGGGGUUGGAGGCACUAGCAUGUGGCAGUGCCCCUUAGAAGGACGUGCGGCGUCUUUUGGCCUUCGAGCUGCUGCCGUGUCCCCUGGCUCCAAACACCCUGACGAGACCAUGCCUGAGGUGAUGGCCAGAUGGAAGUCCCCAGAGGUUCAAUGCCCAGAAGGGAUAUGGACUAAGAGAAAGGGCUUGAAAAAGAAAUGUAUGCCAGCGUCGAUGGGAUUAGCGUUGGACCCGGCAGCAG